UCUGGUGGUUGGUGGCCCGGUGAUGUUGUGCAUGUACAUCAUGAUGUGCCAGCUCUGCAAGGGUGUGGCAGAGACGUUGUGUGUUGCACUGGGACUUCAAGCCGCACAAAAACUUGCUCAUGGACUGGCCUUUACGGUUCCUCUCAAGACACACAUGAUAUUCUUACUAUGAGGUACAGGCCCUAGGUUCCUUCUUGGCACUAGAUUUGGUCAGUGGGCUGCACUUUGGUAGGAUAAACUGGACAUGAUAAAUUAGCACAUAUUUGAUAUUCAACUCUCUUACAAAGAUAUGCUGAACUUCCGGUAAAUGGCGUCUGACUUGAUCGCAACCAUGGCACUUUUCCGUGGAGAAGGUGCAGCAGCUAUGCUCCUGCACAAUUUGAUGUACAGUACCACACCUUGUCAGAUGUUAAUUCUCUUAUUGCUUGACAUUAAUAGAGGGUAUCUGACCCUGAUAGUCUAUCUUGUUUUUUGAAUGCUAGGUUGCUGGGCACUCGAAAUGAGGAUAUCUUGGCCAUAACUAGGCAAGCUCCCGAACUCAAACGCGUACGUCUCAUACUCGUCUUUUGUAAUUUUCAGUCUCGAUGCUGAUGGGUUUGAUCUGCUUGAGGUUAGUAUUACUAAUCAAACAUAUCCAUCUAUGCUACCUGACAUUGCAGAAACAUAGAAGAAGAGGUGCUCCAGUGUCGUUACCGUGUGCAAAAUGAAAUAUAUACUGAUGUGCAAUUGUUUCAGAUUUUUUUGGGGUAUAAAAGUAAUGUUUUAAAUUUACACAUACGAUUGCAUCUAACGGGUUCCACAUAAAUCCAGUUAUUUCGUAUGUGAGGGACAGGCACAGAAAAGAAACACGGUUCUGGUAAUUAUUAUGGUUCUGAUUUUUUUAAUUGCAUUUGUGAUUGAUUCGUCAAGAAUGGCAAUAAUAUGUGCUAUUAGAAAUAUCUGAAAAACAAAAUUUGACCAGGUGGUGCUUCCCUACAUUAAUUUAGUGUCAAGAAUGUUCAAUUGUUUAUCGUUGGUGCAGUUUUUAGUGGCAUUUGUGUAGCAUGGCUCCUCGAGGAUGGUAUUUAAGCGACAAUAUAUUAAUAGAUGGUUCGCAUUAUAUACACUAGAUUUGUUUAAAUGAAGACGAUAUAUUCCAGGCGGUGUCUGAAUUCUGUCCAUAAUGCUCUAAUCUCAGUAGAGAUGGAGGAGCAAGCAUGCCGCUGGCAAUUGUGGUACCAGCCCAAGAAGUAACCUGCGAAGAAUGGAUCUACAAAACUCAACUCUAUACACAUGGAUACUCAUGUAUGCGUGGUGAACUAAAGUCUAAAGGCACCUAGCAGAGUAUUAUCCUUUGAGGUCUGAGCUUUGCUAUGUUAGUAGACAAGCUAAAGUUUCUGCGCAUGUAUGUGCAAAAAUAAGUGGUUUGUGCUUGCUCAUGCACUAACUGGCGUGCAAUACCUUUCACCGGACUAUCACAGUUCUGCUUAGUUGAUUGUCCUCAUUUCUUCAUAAUUGUACAAUUCAGAUUGUACUUCUGUUUGUAGCUACAAUUAAGAUUGUACUUCUGUUUGUGGCGAAUGAUUUUUUUGGUUCUAGGCA